GGGUCUAUAGCUCAACUGGCAGAGCCCCGGCCUUUUAAGCCGCGUGAUCUGGGUUCAAAUCCCAGUGGACCCACCA
rnacentral:tRNA from 1 species